rnacentral:ncRNA from 2 species
AUUAAAAAGGAGACAAAGAAGUAUACUUAUAUUUGGGCACCUUAAAGUAUACAGAGUCAAUGGUGCAACCGACCUGAUUUUAC